rnacentral:ncRNA from 2 species
GGGUGAUCGUGCCGGGCAAGGCACGACAGGAUGCGCGAUGGUCGGGCCGCCACG